UCGAGGAUAUUUAGCAAUGGGGGAAACCCUGACUAUGUGACGCCGCGUGAGGGAUGAAGGCCUUCGGGUCGUAAACCUCUUUCGAUGGGGAAGAAACUUCCGGUUAACUCCCGGAACUGACGGUACCCAGAGAAGAAGCCAUGGCUAACUCUGUGCCAGCAGCCGCGGUAAUACAGAGAUGGCGAGCGUUACUCGGAUUUAUUGGGUGUAAAGGACAGGUAGGCGGCUAUGUAAGUUGGAGGUGAAAUCCUGCGGCUCAACCGCAGAACUGCCUUCAAAACUGCAUGGCUUGAGGCUAGAAGGGGAGAGCGGAAUUCCCGGUGUAAGGGUGAAAUCUGUAGAUAUCGGGAGGAACACCAGUGGCGAAGGCGGCUCUCUGGUCUGGCCCUGACGCUGAUCUGUGAAAGCUUGGGGAGCAAACAGG
rnacentral:rRNA from 1 species